UCUGCUGGGCUUAGGCAGGUGAACUCAGGUCAAGCCAGAGCCCCGCCGCGGCCACGCAGCCUGUGCGUGAUGUCCGAGUAACAGUGGACGCCGCAGGAUUUGUGCAGGAUCUCGUCCAGCUCUUGCUUGCGCGGGGAGAGAUACCGGCGUAGGUAGGUUUCAGCGAAGCCAUUAUUGCGAAGGUAUAGAUGUGAAAAGCAGCAGAAACCAAACCCCCAACAGCACGGAUUUCCCCUCCGCGUCCCCCCAAGGUCCCCUUUUCUAUUUAUGUGUGCGCGUAUGUACAUACAAAAGAUGGAACACAGAUUUCAUUGAAUAAAUCUGAGGUCUCCAGGUGCAGACGUCUGCAGGGUCGGUGCCAGCACCCCGUGUUUCCCUUUCCUGCCGAUUUUGCUUGGAUCCGGCUCAAAAACCCAGAGUCUCGUGGUUUUGUUUACACUGAAUGGGGAGGAUAGGAACAGAGCCAUGGGCCGUCUUUCAUUAAUAUACAGUGAGGAUUUUGUCUAAAUUACUGCUAUGAAUUUCACAGUGCACGCUUUCAAAAGCAGUCUCAGGUGGCCUGAUGAAACGCGAUAGCGCCUCUGCAAACAGAUCCGCUUUCUUUCUGCUCCAGGAGGGCGUGCGUGCUGUGGGAAGCCCCCGAACGCAGCGCUCCUCCGUCAGAGAAAUACACUGCUACUCUGAGGUUCGUCCCCGCCGUCCCCCCUUUUCUCCUACUUAGUUCUCCAGUCGCUCCCGAGCCUCCCCCAGCCUCACUCCACUUGCCCCCUCCCUCUGCGAGUGUGAUUGUUUUGUCUGGAAAAAAAAAUCCAAAGUAUAUAACAAGGGGAGAACAGUUAGUGCUGAUUUUCAUUUGCAUACAUUUUCAUAUAUUUUGGUGAAAAUAAUAGACUAGUGGAGAGCUGGGCUCGGAGGAGUCAGUGUGAAGGGAAGGCUAAGGAUGCAUCGUUCUGGGGAGUUGAGAAUAUGCCUUCACCGCCUCCAGUCACUUGAUUGAAAAAAAAAUCUCUUAUUUUAAAAUCUAACCCCGGAAGUUUGUUGGGUCAUGGAGCUCCACCCGAUAGCUCAGUGCAUCGCGUGGAGUGGUUGCGCCACUGUCCCCGGAGUUGGAUGUCAGGAGGUACGGAGCCCGGCGUGGCAUUUACCACUUUCAGAGCUGGCAGCCUGGCCGAGGAGACGGGACAAGUACUCGGGAAGCAAUCCCUGUAGCUGCUAAACUGGGAUUGUGCUGAGGACACCAAAGAGGCCCGCCCUCUGGCUCCUCCCUUCAGAUUGGAGCAGCGGUACUGCGCUCACCUGCUUUGUGCACGUCCUUCUCGCACAGCGAGUGAGGAGCUGAAUGGGAACAUUUAGAAGCAAAAACAAAAAUGCGUUUGGAUGUUUCUGGGCUCCAGAGCCAGCAAGGAAGGAAGGAUUGGACUUGUGGUGUCGGUGCCCCCGAGGCCCGGCCGCCCCCUCUGGCGCCCACAACGCUGUAGGGCGGUGGGGAUCCUGGGCCAGAGGUCUUGGUCUUCCCAUCAAAGAUAGAGUCUGCACAAGGCUCCGCACCCAGACAGCCCUAGGAAACUUCCUACUAAGAGAGGCGUCUAGAAACGUGUGGUGGACAGCCAGCUUCCCCAAAGCCCCUUUCACUUUCUCCUUAGACAUGAAGCCAACUAGCUAGAGACUCACUUCAGGACAGAGACUAAGUUAUUGCCUCUGAAAUGUGAGUAGAAGUGAUAUGUGCAGCUUCUACUUCCUGUUUUAACUGGAAAUCGCUCUUCCUAGACUUCCUGUGGUCUGGGACCUGGAUGUGCUGGUGACGCCAUUAAACCAGGCAGCGGAGCAGACGAGCAGCCCUGGAGGGAGGUCUGGCCUCUUCUUCUCGGAGAAACAGGCCAGCCCGCAGCCGGGCCAGCUCCAGGGCGUUCCAAGAAAGGGAAGGCAGUCCAGUCUUGAGAGCCACUGUAUUUUGGGAUCUGUUGGAUCAAAGAGCAAAGUUUUUUACCUUGAAAAAUAUAGACCAUGUCUGGGCGUGGAAGUAGAGCACUGGCUGCAAGUCAGUAGCUCGCAUCCCUUCAUCCUCCCCUGCUGUCCUUCCUCCCGCACAUGUUUAUUGAGCAUCAACUCUGUCUGAGCAACAUGAAGCUGCCGGUGAUGGUAAGCAACAGAGCCAUGGCCCUCUCCUCCUGAAGCCGGCAUCCUCGUAGGGCAGACAGACAGAAACAAGCAGGCAGACUAAUUAAAACACCCACAGACCUGCUUUCUGGAGAAAGAACUGGGAAAAGGUAACAAUUUCUUUCCACAGGCUACAGUAGUCCUGGCAGGGGAGGCUGGGAAAAUGUACAAAAAAUCACAGCAGAAUUUCUCUAAUCACAUAGUAUUUGAAUUCAAUGAAAAAUAAUAAGUCUCAGGAGUUUUAAGAGUUAGGAAGCGGGUUUCUGAGGCACCAUGCUGUCCACUUCCGAGCGUGCUGGAAAUGCUGGUUUGGAGGUUAGUGGUGCUGUCAUCCAGGCAACACCUGGAGUGUGGGUUGCGGGUGAGCUGUUGAAAGGGGUCUCCGAGCCCCCGCGCACCGCAGUUCUGUGGGCUGUGAGUGGUGUGGCCUUGGGAAUUUCUGGUUUAGAGAUAGUAAAGCAGGAAAUUGAAAUAUUUUAAUUCAUAAAACUUCCCAGACCAUUAAAGCUACCUAUUCUGAA